UGCGGGGUGGAGCAGUCUGGUAGCUCGUCGGGCUCAUAACCCGAAGGUCGUUGGUUCAAAUCCAGCUCCCGCUACCA
rnacentral:tRNA from 11 species